rnacentral:rRNA from 1 species
UGGGCGUAAGGGCUCGCAGGCGGUUUCUUAAGUCUGAUGUGAAAGCCCCCGGCUCAACCGGGGAGGGUCAUUGGAAACUGGGGAACUUGAGUGCAGAAGAGGAGAGUGGAAUUCCACGUGUAGCGGUGAAAUGCGUAGAGAUGUGGAGGAACACCAGUGGCGAAGGCGACUCUCUGGUCUGUAACUGACGCUGAGGAGCGAAAGCGUGGGGAGCGAACAGGAUUAGAUACCCUGGUAGUCCACGCCGUAAACGAUGAGUGCUAAGUGUUAGGGGGUUUCCGCCCCUUAGUGCUGCAGCUAACGCAUUAAGCACUCCGCCUGGGGAGUACGGUCGCAAGACUGAAACUCAAAGGAAUUGACGGGGGCCCGCACAAGCGGUGGAGCAUGUGGUUUAAUUCGAAGCAACGCGAAGAACCUUACCAGGUCUUGACAUCCUCUGACAAUCCUAGAGAUAGGACGUCCCCUUCGGGGGCAGAGUGACAGGUGGUGCAUGGUUGUCGUCAGCUCGUGUCGUGAGAUGUUGGGUUAAGUCCCGCAACGAGCGCAACCCUUGAUCUUAGUUGCCAGCAUUCAGUUGGGCACUCUAAGGUGACUGCCGGUGACAAACCGGAGGAAGGUGGGGAUGACGUCAAAUCAUCAUGCCCCUUAUGACCUGGGCUACACACGUGCUACAAUGGACAGAACAAAGGGCAGCGAAACCGCGAGGUUAAGCCAUCCCACAAUCUGUUCUCAGUUCGGAUC